rnacentral:rRNA from 1 species
UACGUAGGUGGCAAGCGUUGUCCGGAUUUACUGGGCGUAAGCGCGCGUAGGCGGCUAAUUAAGUCGGGUGUGAAAGCCCGGGCUCAACCUGGGAAUUGCAUCCGAUACUGAUUGGCUAGAGUAUGAGAGAGGGAGGUAGAAGUUCCACGUGUAGCGGUCGAAAUGCGCAGAUAUCAGGAGGAACACCGGUGGCGAAGGCGGGUCUCUGGGCCGAUGACUGACGUGAGGAGCGAAAGCGUGGGGAGCGAACAGG